rnacentral:rRNA from 1 species
CUAGAAUGCGGUAGAGGUAAAGGGAAUUCCUGGUGUAGCGGUGAAAUGCGUAGAUAUCAGGAGGAACAUCGGUGGCGUAAGCGCUUUACUGGGCCGUAAUUGACACUGAGGAACGAAAGCCAGGGUAGCAAAUGGGAUUAGAUACCCCAGUAGUCCUGGCCGUAAACGAUGGAUACUAGGUGUUGCGGGUAUCGACCCCUGCAGUGCCGUAGCUAACGCGUUAAGUAUCCCGCCUGGGGAGUACGCACGCAAGUGUGAAACUCAAAGGAAUUGACGGGGACCCGCACAAGCGGUGGAACAUGUGGUUUAAUUCGAAGCAACGCGAAGAACCUUACCAGGGCUUGACAUCUAACAAACCUUUGUGAAAGCAGAGGGUGCUCUUCGGAGAAUGUUAAGACAGGUGGUGCACGGUUGUCGUCAGCUCGUGUCGUGAGAUGUUGGGUUAAGUCCCGCAACGAGCGCAACCCUCGUCGUUAGUUGGUACUAUCGGUAUACUUAUAGUAACCUCUCUAGCGAGACUGCCGGUGAUAAACCGGAGGAAGGUGAGGACGACGUCAAAUCAUCAUGCCCCUUAUGCUCUGGGCUACACACGUGUUACAAUGGCCGGUACAAUGAGCCGCCAACUCGCGAGAGUGAGCAAAUCUCUAAAAGCCGGUCUCAGUUCGGAUUGCAGUCUGCAACUCGACUGCAUGAAGUCGGAAUCGCUAGUAAACGCAGAUCAGCACGCUGCGUUGAAUACGUUCCCGGGUCUUGUACACACCGCCCGUCACACCAUGGAAGUCGACCACGCCCGAAGUACGUGAGCUAACCGUAAGGAAGCAGCGUCCUAAGGCAGGGUUGGUGACUGGGGUGAAGUCGUAACAAGGUAGCCGUACCGGAAGGUGUGGCUG